rnacentral:siRNA from 1 species
CAUGUGUCUCCUCACUUGCACGUG